UGCAUGGUUGUCGUCAGCUCGUGCCGUGAGGUGUCGGGUUAAGUCCCAUAACGAGCGCAACCCCUACUGCUAGUUGCCAGCGGGUCAUGCCGGGGACUCUAGCGGAACUGCCAGCGUAAGCUGCGAGGAAGGUGGGGAUGACGUCAAGUCAUCAUGGCCCUUAUGUCCAGGGCGACACACGUGCUACAAUGGCCGGCACAGCGGGAAGCGGAGGGGCGACCCUGAGCGGAUCCCUUGAAAGCCGGUCCCAGUUCGGAUUGCAGUCUGCAACUCGACUGCAUGAAGUUGGAAUCGCUAGUAAUCGCGGAUCAGCCAAGCCGCGGUGAAUACGUUCCCGGGCCUU
rnacentral:rRNA from 1 species